AUUCUACUCCCUCCGUCCAAAAAUACUUGUCUUAGAAAUGGAUAAAAUGGAUGUAUUUAUAACUAAAAUAAGUCUAGAUACAAGCAUUCCUAAGACAAGUAUUUCCGGACGGAGGGAGUACAUU
rfam:Triticum urartu cultivar G1812 contig381440, whole genome shotgun sequence.